rnacentral:rRNA from 1 species
AAACAUGNNNUCGAGCGGUAAGGCCCCUUCGGGNAUUACACGAUUCGGCNCGACGGCUGAGUAACACGUAGGAACGUACCCCAAACUGAGGGAUAAGCACCAGAAAUGGUGUCUAAUACCGCAUGUGGUCUUCGGAUUAAAGCUUCGGCGGUUUGGGAACGGCCUGCGCAUGAUUAGCUUGUUGGUGAGGUAAUAGCUCACCAAGGCGACGAUCAUUAGCUGGUCUGAGAGGAUGAUCAGCCAGACUGGGACUGAGAACGGCCCAGACUCCUACGGGAGGCAGCAGUAGGGAUUUUUUUUUUUUUUGGAGGCAGCUCUGACGGAGCAACGCCGCGUGCAGGACGACGGCCAUUUGGUUGUAAUCUGUUUUUCUGUUGGACUAGACUUUUUUUUUUUUCUUUUUAUUAAUCCUUGGCUAAUUAUUUUGC